GCCUAUUUAGUUUAUUUAAAACAUUGGUUUUGUAAACCAAAAAAAAAUUAUUAGGUA
rnacentral:tRNA from 1 species